rnacentral:rRNA from 1 species
GAAUGCUGACAUAAGUAACGAUAAAGCGGGUGAAAAGCCCGCUCGCCGGAAGACCAAGGGUUCCUGUCCAACGUUAAUCGGGGCAGGGUGAGUCGACCCCUAAGGCGAGGCCGAAAGGCGUAGUCGAUGGGAAACGGGUUAAUAUUCCCGUACUUGGUGUUACUGCGAAGGGGGGACGGAGAAGGCUAUGUUGGCCGGGCGACGGUUGUCCCGGUUUAAGCGUGUAGGUGUGUGUUCCAGGUAAAUCCGGUUCACUUUAACACUGAGGCGUGAUGACGAGGCACUACGGUGCUGAAGCAACAAAUGCCCUGCUUCCAGGAAAAGCCUCUAAGCAUCAGGUAACAUCAAAUCGUACCCCAAACCGACACAGGUGGUCAGGUAGAGAAUACCAAGGCGCUUGAGAGAACUCGGGUGAAGGAACUAGGCAAAAUGGUGCCGUAACUUCGGGAGAAGGCACGCUGACAUGUAGGUGAAGUGAUUUACUCAUGGAGCUGAAGUCAGUCGAAGAUACCAGCUGGCUGCAACUGUUUAUUAAAAACACAGCACUGUGCAAACACGAAAGUGGACGUAUACGGUGUGACGCCUGCCCGGUGCCGGAAGGUUAAUUGAUGGGGUCAGCGCAAGCGAAGCUCCUGAUCGAAGCCCCGGUAAACGGCGGCCGUAACUAUAACGGUCCUAAGGUAGCGAAAUUCCUUGUCGGGUAAGUUCCGACCUGCACGAAUGGCGUAAUGAUGGCCAGGCUGUCUCCACCCGAGACUCAGUGAAAUUGAACUCGCUGUGAAGAUGCAGUGUACCCGCGGCAAGACGGAAAGACCCCGUGAACCUUUACUAUAGCUUGACACUGAACAUUGAGCCUUGAUGUGUAGGAUAGGUGGGAGGCUUUGAAGUGUGGACGCCAGUCUGCAUGGAGCCGACCUUGAAAUACCACCCUUUAAUGUUUGAUGUUCUAACGUGGACCCGUAAUCCGGGUUGCGGACAGUGUCUGGUGGGUAGUUUGACUGGGGCGGUCUCCUCCUAAAGAGUAACGGAGGAGCACGAAGGUUGGCUAAUCCUGGUCGGACAUCAGGAGGUUAGUGCAAUGGCAUAAGCCAGCUUGACUGCGAGCGUGACGGCGCGAGCAGGUGCGAAAGCAGGUCAUAGUGAUCCGGUGGUUCUGAAUGGAAGGGCCAUCGCUCAACGGAUAAAAGGUACUCCGGGGAUAACAGGCUGAUACCGCCCAAGAGUUCAUAUCGACGGCGGUGUUUGGCACCUCGAUGUCGGCUCAUCACAUCCUGGGGCUGAAGUAGGUCCCAAGGGUAUGGCUGUUCGCCAUUUAAAGUGGUACGCGAGCUGGGUUUAGAACGUCGUGAGACAGUUCGGUCCCUAUCUGCCGUGGGCGCUGGAGAACUGAGGGGGGCUGCUCCUAGUACGAGAGGACCGGAGUGGACGCAUCACUGGUGUUCGGGUUGUCAUGCCAAUGGCACUGCCCGGUAGCUAAAUGCGGAAGAGAUAAGUGCU